AUUAAAGUAGUGCGGGUGCAAGAAAUAAAGGAAAGUAGUGCAGUACGAGAAAUAAACAAAGUAAAGUGCGAGUGCGAGAAAUAAACAAAAUAAAGGCAGUGCGGGAAAGUAAACAAAAUAAAGGCAGUGCGGGAAAGUAAACAAAAUAAAGGCAGUGCGGGAAAGUAAAGUAGACAAAGGUAAAGCAAUAAAACCUGCUCCAAUUGGAGGGUCGAAUAAAGUGCGAAACAUAAAUGAAAAUGGCGGCAGGAUUAAACUUCCUUCCAAAGUUCUCCAAACUCGAUUACAGACUCGAUUACACAGUGUGGCAACACUCCGAUGUGAAGCGAUUACCACUUUUACACAAUACUAAUAUAUGCUUAGUUGUAACUAAGUUUGGAUGAUGAAACAAAUGAAAUCAAGGCUCUAUUU
rnacentral:lncRNA from 1 species